rnacentral:rRNA from 1 species
ACGGGUGAGUAACGCGUGGGAAUCUACCCAACCCUACGGAAUAACGCAUGGAAACGUGUGCUAAUACCGUAUACGCCCUUUGGGGGAAAGAUUUAUCGGGGAUGGAUGAGCCCGCGUUGGAUUAGCUAGUUGGUGGGGUAAAGGCCUACCAAGGCGACGAUCCAUAGCUGGUCUGAGAGGAUGAUCAGCCACAUUGGGACUGAGACACGGCCCAAACUCCUACGGGAGGCAGCAGUGGGGAAUAUUGGACAAUGGGCGCAAGCCUGAUCCAGCCAUGCCGCGUGAGUGAUGAAGGCCCUAGGGUUGUAAAGCUCUUUCACCGGUGAAGAUAAUGACGGUAACCGGAGAAGAAGCCCCGGCUAACUUCGUGCCAGCAGCCGCGGUAAUACGAAGGGGGCUAGCGUUGUUCGGAAUUACUGGGCGUAAAGCGCACGUAGGCGGACAUUUAAGUCAGGGGUGAAAUCCCAGAGCUCAACUCUGGAACUGCCUUUGAUACUGGGUGUCUGGAGUAUGGAAGAGGUAAGUGGAAUUCCGAGU